AACGAACGCUGGCGGCGUGCUUAACACAUGCAAGUCGAACGGAAAGGCCCUGAUUCUGUGGGGUGCUCGAAUGGCGAACGGGUGAGUAACACGUGAGUAACCUGCCCUCGGCUUUGGGGUAACUUCAAGAAACUGGGGCUAAUACUGGAUAGGAGCUCCUGCUGCCUGGUGGGGGUUGGAAAGUUUCGGCGGUUGGGGAUGGACGCGCGGCUUAUCAGCUUGUUGGUGGGGUAGUGGCUUACCAAGGCUUUGCCGGGUAGCCGGCCUGAGAGGGUGACCGGCCACAUUGGGACUGAGAUACGGCCCAGACUGCUACGGGAGGCAGCAGUGGGGAAUAUUGCACAAUGGGCGGAAGCCUGAUGCAGCAACGCCGCGUGCGGGAUGACGGCCUUCGGGUUGUAAACCGCUUUCGCCUGUGACGAAGCGUGAGUGACGGUAAUGGGUAAAGAAGCACCGGCUAACUACGUG
rnacentral:rRNA from 1 species